rnacentral:rRNA from 1 species
CCUACGGGAGGCAGCAGUGAGGAAUAUUGGUCAAUGGGCGGAAGCCUGAACCAGCCAAGUAGCGUGCAGGAUGACGGCCCUACGGGUUGUAAACUGCUUUUAUACGGGAAUAACGCGCCUUACGUGUAGGGCUUUGCAUGUACCGUAUGAAUAAGGACCGGCUAAUUCCGUGCCAGCAGCCGCGGUAAAACGGAAGGUCCGAGCGUUAUCCGGAUUUAUGUGUUUGAAAGGGAGCGUAGGCCGCAUGUCAAGCGUGCUGUGAAAUGUCCGGGCUCAACCCGGGCCUUGCAGCGCGAACUGGCGUGCUUGAGUCCGCGGAAAGCAGGCGGAAUUCGUCGUGUAGCGGUGAAAUGCUUAGAUAUGACGAAGAACCCCGAUUGCGAAGGCAGCUUGCUGCAGCGGAACUGACGCUGAUGCUCGAAAGCGCGGGUAUCGAACAGGAUUAGAUACCCCAGUAGUC